CACGCCCUAAACGAUGCGAACUGGAUGUUGGGUUCAACUAGGAACUCAGUAUCGAAGCUAACGCGUUAAGUUCGCCGCCUGGGGAGUACGGUCGCAAGACUGAAACUCAAAGGAAUUGACGGGGGCCCGCACAAGCGGUGGAGUAUGUGGUUUAAUUCGAUGCAACGCGCAGAACCUUACCUGGCCUUGACAUCCACGGAACUUUCCAGAGAUGGAUUGGUGCCUUCGGGAACCGUGAGACAGGUGC
rnacentral:rRNA from 1 species